UACGAAGGGGGCUAGCGUUGCUCGGAAUCACUGGGCGUAAAGGGUGCGUAGGCGGGUUAUUAAGUCAGAGGUGAAAUCCUGGAGCUCAACUCCAGAACUGCCUUUGAUACUGAGAGUCUUGAGUUCGGGAGAGGUGAGUGGAACUGCGAGUGUAGAGGUGAAAUUCGUAGAUAUUCGCAAGAACACCAGUGGCGAAGGCGGUUCACUGGCCCGGUACUGACGCUGAGGUGCGAAAGCGUGGGGAGCAAACAGG
rnacentral:rRNA from 1 species